rnacentral:rRNA from 1 species
AUUGAACGCUGGCGGAAUGCUUUACACAUGCAAGUCGAGCGGCAGCGCGGGGCAACCUGGCGGCGAGCGGCGAACGGGUGAGUAAUGCAUCGGAACAUGUCCAUGUCGUGGGGGAUAGCCCGGCGAAAGCCGGAUUAAUACCGCAUACGCCCGAGAGGGGAAAGUGGGGGACCGCAAGGCCUCACGCGAUUGGGUUGGCCGAUGUCCGAUUAGCUAGUUGGUGGGGUAAAGGCNCACCAAGGCGAUGAUCGGUAGCUGGUCUGAGAGGAUGAUCAGCCACACUGGGACUGAGACACGGCCCAGACUCCUACGGGAGGCAGCAGUGGGGAAUUUUGGACAAUGGGGGCAACCCUGAUCCAGCCAUUCCGCGUGAGUGAAGAAGGCCUGG